AAAAAAAACUACAGGAAAUGAUUAAUCAAGACAAUGGAAGAUAUAGUGAGUGGUAGCGUGACUGAACAGCUUUGUGGAGUCCUCUGUUGAAGGGUAAGCCCUCCCCACACUUCCGUGAAAAUGAACAAGGAUUUUAGAGGGAUAGUUGUCCUACCUAGUAGCCCCUUGAAGCUACAGAAUGGGAAAUUGGCUUAUCUGCCAAAGACACUGAUGGAACGCUCAACAGUUCUCUCCUGGAAGAACGUAACACCAGGAAGAGAUGAAAGGGGAUUGUAAAGAGAAUAUGGACUGAUAUGAUUCAUUAUACCCAUUUGUCUGGGAUUUUGUUUGGCUCCAUUGCUGAUGUUUCUGGACUCAAAAACUAUCUGGCUUGAGCAGACACUGUCAGAACUGA